CCUACGGGCGGCAGCAGUGAGGAAUAUUGGUCAAUGGACGAGAGUCUGAACCAGCCAAGUAGCGUGAAGGAUGACUGCCCUAUGGGUUGUAAACUUCUUUUAUAUGGGAAUAAAAUGUUCCACGUGUGGGAUUUUGUAUGUACCAUAUGAAUAAGGAUCGGCUAACUCCGUGCCAGCAGCCGCGGUAAUACGGAGGAUCCGAGCGUUAUCCGGAUUUAUUGGGUUUAAAGGGAGCGUAGGUGGAUUGUUAAGUCAGUUGUGAAAGUUUGCGGCUCAACCGUAAAAUUGCAGUUGAAACUGGCAGUCUUGAGUACAGUAGAGGUGGGCGGAAUUCGUGGUGUAGCGGUGAAAUGCUUAGAUAGCACGAAGAACUCCGAUUGCGAAGGCAGUUCACUGGACUGCAACUGACACUGAGGCUCGAAAGUGUGGGUAUCAAACAGGAUUAGAUACCCUUGUAGUC
rnacentral:rRNA from 1 species